rnacentral:rRNA from 1 species
AGAGUUUGAUCAUGGCUCAGAUUGAACGCUGGCGGCAUGCCUUACACAUGCAAGUCGAGCGGCAGCGCGGGGAGGGGCAACUCUUCCUGGCGGCGAGCGGCGAACGGGUGAGUAAUACAUCGGAACGUGUCCAGUUGUGGGGGAUAACCAGUCGAAAGACUGGCUAAUACCGCAUACGAUCUACGGAUGAAAGCGGGGGAUCGCAAGACCUCGCGCUAUUGGAGCGGCCGAUGUCCGAUUAGCUAGUUGGCGGGGUAACGGCCCACCAAGGCGACGAUCGAUAGCUGUUCUGAGAGGAAGGACAGCCACACUGGGACUGAGAGACGGCCCAGACUCCUACGGGAGGCAGCAGUGGGGAAUAUUGGACAAUGGGGGGAACCCUGAUCCAGCAAUGCCAUGUGUGCGAAGAAGGUCUUCGGAUUGUAAAGCACUUUAAGUUGGGAGGAAGGGCAUUUACCUAAUACGUAAGUGUUUUGACGUUACCGACAGAAUAAGCACCGGCUAACUCUGUGCCAGCCGCCGCGGUAAUUC